GGGGACGUAGCUCAAUUGGUUAGAGCACCGGCCUGUCACGCCGGAGGUUGCGGGUUCGAGCCCCGUCGUCCUCG
rnacentral:tRNA from 2 species